rnacentral:rRNA from 1 species
GACGAACGCUGGCGGCGUGCUUAACACAUGCAAGUCGAACGGAAAGGCCCUGCUUUUGUGGGGUGCUCGAGUGGCGAACGGGUGAGUAACACGUGAGUAACCUGCCCUUGACUUUGGGAUAACUUCAGGAAACUGGGGCUAAUACCGGAUAGGAGCUCCUGCUGCAUGGUGGGGGUUGGAAAGUUUCGGCGGUUGGGGAUGGACUCGCGGCUUAUCAGCUUGUUGGUGGGGUAGUGGCUUACCAAGGCUUUGACGGGUAGCCGGCCUGAGAGGGUGACCGGCCACAUUGGGACUGAGAUACGGCCCAGACUCCUACGGGAGGCAGCAGUGGGGAAUAUUGCACAAUGGGCGGAAGCCUGAUGCAGCAACGCCGCGUGCGGGGUGACGGCCUUCGGGUUGUAAACCGCUUUCGCCUGUGACGAAGCGUGAGUGACGGUAAUGGGUAAAGAAGCACCGGCUAACUACGUGCCAGCAGCCGCGGUGAUACGUAGGGUGCGAGCGUUGUCCGGAUUUAUUGGGCGUAAAGGGCUCGUAGGUGGUUGAUCGCGUCGGAAGUGUAAUCUUGGGGCUUAACCCUGAGCGUGCUUUCGAUACGGGUUGACUUGAGGAAGGUAGGGGAGAAUGGAAUUCCUGGUGGAGCGGUGGAAUGCGCAGAUAUCAGGAGGAACGCCAGUGGCGAAGGCGGUUCUCUGGGCCUUUCCUGACGCUGAGGAGCGAAAGCGUGGGGAGCGAACAGGCUUAGAUACCCUGGUAGUCCACGCUGUAAACGGUGGGUACUAGGUGUGGGGUCCAUUCCACGGGUUCCGUGCCGUAGCUAACGCUUUAAGUACCCCGCCUGGGGAGUACGGCCGCAAGGCUAAAACUCAAAGGAAUUGACGGGGCCCCGCACAAGCGGCGGAGCAUGCGGAUUAAUUCGAUGCAACGCGUAGAACCUUACCUGGGUUUGACAUGGAUCGGGAGCGCUCAGAGAUGGGUGUGCCUCUUUUGGGGUCGGUUCACAGGUGGUGCAUGGCUGUCGUCAGCUCGUGUCGUGAGAUGUUGGGUUAAGUCCCGCAACGAGCGCAACCCUUGUUCACUGUUGCCAGCACGUUAUGGUGGGGACUCAGUGGAGACCGCCGGGGUCAACUCGGAGGAAGGUGGGGAUGACGUCAAGUCAUCAUGCCCCUUAUGUCCAGGGCUUCACGCAUGCUACAAUGGCUGGUACAGAGAGUGGCGAGCCUGUGAGGGUGAGCGAAUCUCGGAAAGCCGGUCUCAGUUCGGAUUGGGGUCUGCAACUCGACCUCAUGAAGUCGGAGUCGCUAGUAAUCGCAGAUCAGCAACGCUGCGGUGAAUACGUUCCCGGGGCU